GGCACGCUUCAUACAUGCAAGUCGAGGGGCAGCAUAAAGUACUUGUACUUUGAUGGCGACCGGCGAACGGGUGCGUAACGCGUAUGCAACUUACCUUUUACUAGAGAAUAGCCAAGAGAAAUUUUGAUUAAUGCUCUAUACUCUUUUUAACUCACAUGAGUUUUUAAGAAAAGCUCCGGCGGUAAAAGAUGGGCAUGCGUCCUAUUAGCUUGUAGGUGAGGUAACGGCUCACCUAAGCUCCGAUAGGUAGGGGUCCUGAGAGGGAGAUCCCCCACACUGGUACUGAGACACGGACCAGACUUCUACGGAAGGCAGCAGUAAGGAAUAUUGGACAAUGGGCGAAAGCCUGAUCCAGUGAUAUCGCUUUGGGGAUGACGGCGACAUACGUUGUAAACCCAAUGAAGUACGUUUAGAUUAUGACCGUACGUAUUUUAGAAGUCCCGG
rnacentral:rRNA from 1 species